rnacentral:rRNA from 1 species
UUCCUACGGGAGGCAGCAGUAGGGAAUCUUUCACAAUGGGGGAAACCCUGAUGCAGCGACGCCGCGUGGGAAGACGGUCUUCUGGAUUGUAAACCACUGUCCCCAGGGACGAAAAUGACGGUACCUGGGGAGGAAGCUCCGGCUAACUACGUGCCAGCAGCCGCGGUAAUACGUAGGGAGCAAGCGUUGUCCGGAAUUACUGGGUGUAAAGGGAGCGUAGGCGGGGAUGCAAGUUGGGUGUCAAAACUAUCGGCUCAACCGAUAGUCGCACUCAAAACUGCAGCUCUUGAGUUAAGUAGAGGCAG